rnacentral:tRNA from 1 species
GGGAUAAGAAAUUUUUCAAAAUUAAGCUUCUAACUUGAUUUUAAUAAUUAAUAGUUAUUUUAUUCUU